rfam:Gaeumannomyces graminis var. tritici R3-111a-1 unplaced genomic scaffold supercont2.2, whole genome shotgun sequence.
GGCAACGUGCCAGAGUGGUUAAUGGGUUAGACUCGAACCGAAGCUGCGAUUCGGCAGCUUCAGAGCGAUCUAAUGGCUUCGGCCGCACAAGUUCGAAUCUUGUCGUUGUCG